UACGGGGGGUGCGAGCGUUGUCCGGAUUCACUGGGCGUAAAGGGCGCGUAGGCGGUCUUGUAAGUCUCGUGUGAAAUCCCUCGGCUUAACUGAGGAACUGCACGGGAUACUGCAUGACUUGAGAUCGGGAGAGGGAAGCGGAAUUCCGGGUGUAGCGGUGAAAUGCGUAGAUAUCCGGAGGAACACCAGUGGCGAAGGCGGCUUCCUGGACCGACACUGACGCUGAGGCGCGAAAGCUAGGGGAGCAAACGGG
rnacentral:rRNA from 1 species